AAUCAACGCUGGCGGCGUGCCUAACACAUGCAAGUCGAACGGUAACAGGUCUUCGGAUGCUGACGAGUGGCGAACGGGUGAGUAAUACAUCGGAACGUGCCCGAUCGUGGGGGAUAACUACUCGAAAGAGUAGCUAAUACCGCAUACGAUCUACGGAUGAAAGCGGGGGAUCUUCGGACCUCGUGCGGACGGAGCGGCCGAUGGCAGAUUAGGUAGUUGGUGGGAUAAAAGCUUACCAAGCCGACGAUCUGUAGCUGGUCUGAGAGGACGACCAGCCACACUGGGACUGAGACACGGCCCAGACUCCUACGGGAGGCAGCAGUGGGGAAUUUUGGACAAUGGGCGAAAGCCUGAUCCAGCAGUGCCGCGUGCAGGAUGAAGGCCUUCGGGUUGUAAACUGCUUUUGUACGGAACGAAAAGACUCCUUCUAAUACAGGGGGUCCAUGACGGUACCGUAAGAAUAAGCACCGGCUAACUACGUGCCAGCCGCCGCCGUAACAC
rnacentral:rRNA from 1 species